rnacentral:rRNA from 1 species
AGCAGUAGCCGCGGGAAUACGUAGGUGGCAAGCGUUGUCCGGAAUUAUUGGGCGUAAAGCGCGCGCAAGCGGAUAGGUCAGUCUGUCUUAAAAGUUCGGGGCUUAACCCCGUGAUGGGAUGGAAACUGCCAAUCUAGAGUAUCGGAGAGGAAAGUGGAAUUCCUAGUGUAGCGGUGAAAUGCGUAGAUAUUAGGAAGAACACCAGUGGCGAAGGCGACUUUCUGGACGAAAACUGACGCUGAGGCGCGAAAGCCAGGGGAGCGAACGGGAUUAGAUACCCGCGUAGUCCCUGUCUCUUAUACA